GACGUCGACCGGCGCACGGGUGAGUAACGCGUAUCCAACCUACCCAUUACUGUGGGAUAACCUGCCGAAAGGCAGACUAAUACCGCAUAGUCUUCGAUGACGGCAUCAGAUUUGAAGUAAAGAUUUAUCGGUAAUGGAUGGGGAUGCGUCUGAUUAGCUUGUUGGCGGGGUAAUGGCCCACCAAGGCAACGAUCAGUAGGGGUUCUGAGAGGAAGGUCCCCCACAUUGGAACUGAGACACGGUCCAA
rnacentral:rRNA from 1 species